rnacentral:rRNA from 1 species
AUUGAACGCUGGCGGCAGGCCUAACACAUGCAAGUCGAGCGAGAGGCGGACGGGUGAGUAAUGUAUGGGGACUGCCCGAAGGAGGGGGAUAACUACUGGAAACGGUAGCUAAUACCGCAUACUAUAGGAUAACCCAUAUGGGAUUAGCUAGUAGGUGGGGUAAUGGCUCACCUAGGCGACGAUCCCUAGCUGGUCUGAGAGGAUGAUCAGCCACACUGGGACUGAGACACGGCCCAGACUCCUACGGAGGCAGCAGUCGGGAAUAUUGCACAAUGGGCGAAAGCCUGAUGCAGCCAUGCCGCGUGUAUGAAGAAGGCCCUCGGGUUGUAAAGUACUUUCAGUCGGGAGGCGUUACCGACAGAAUAAGCACCGGCUAACUCCGUGCCAGCAGCCGCGGUAAUAC